GCAAUGAUGUGUAAAAAAUGUUAAAAAAAUAAAUAUAAUGGAAGAAAUUAAUUUAAAUUUAAAAAAAAGUUUUUAAAAAUGAUUUCAAUAAUUACGAAACGUCAUAAAGAUAUGUGGAACUGUUGUAAAGUUUAGUAAAUCGUAAUGAAACGAAGCUAAAUGAUGUCUUUGUUUUUGUCGAUGAUAUCUUGUGCAAGGAGCUCGAUUGCGGCGAAGGAGAGCACUAAUCCUUUCCAAAAAAUUUUCAUAUUGUGGCGGCUUAUCAAUAAGUUGCUUGUCUUUAAAAGUGGAAAGUGGUCGGGAUUUACCCGUGCUUAACAACAACCUAUAUCAUCUGUAUGACCUAAGGCUAAAAGCCAUAACAACCAUAUGUAUGGUUGAAUAAUAACAAUGUAAUCCUUUGGAAACAAAAGAGAUAAUGCUAAUAACAAAAUUUUCUGCGAAUAAUUAAGUAAUAAAUUGUAUAAAAUUGUUGGAUCCAGAGGUGUUAAGUUCAAAUUGCUUCAAUGCAUCUUAACUGCAAUCUUCACAAAUUUUAAUGAGUUUUUGGAAAAAGCAAAAUAUUUUCCUCUACGCUGUCAACUAUUCAUAAAUUCUUGCUGGCAUGAAGUUACUUAUACAACAACUAUUUUAUUUACUGCAUCCUAAAUCAAAAGUGGUACAUAAUUUUGUUAGGUUGUAAAAUGUGCAGUACUUAUAACGUUCAACCCAAGUUUAUCUUACAAAGGCAGUACGGAUGACCAGAUCUCUAAAGGCAAUAGCGGAGUCGAUUAAGUCAUGUCCAUCUGUCUGCCUG